GUUCUCAUCAAAAGCAGGCAAAUUCUGCAGAAUGUUUUGCCUUUGAGAGAAGAGCAUUUCUUCAGAAAGCAGAGCCAUAUCAGGAAGGAACGUGCCAGUUGCCUACAUACAUACACAGGAUGGGCGUUCGAUUGUAAUUGCACCUACAGCUACUCAUGGCUCAAACCCAAACUGGAAAGAACAAAAGCUAUGGACAAAGGAACAAACACUCCAUGAAAAGAUUCUCAGAGAGAUUUUUAAAGACAAAGGCGAUGACAAGCAGAUUUCUAAUAUCAAUGCAAGCUUGUCUUUUUGCCUUAUAUAUAAACAAAAACAAUGCGUUUUUAAAAUCUUGCUGAUUAAUUACAUCAUACCUAACCCUGAAGGCCUAAUCUCCACUGGAGCUGCUGCUGUUAAUGUAGAACUAAUGAACAAUAAGAGCAAUAACUGAGAAUGGCUGAAGACCCAGUCCAGAAUCCAUGGGAUUCAGGAAGAAGCUGAACCAGAAGUGUCACAAAAAUAAAAGCACCUUCAGAGUAAUGCA
rnacentral:lncRNA from 1 species